rnacentral:rRNA from 1 species
UACCAGCUCUCCGAGUGGUAGGGAUGAUUAUUGGGCUUAAAGCGUCCGUAGCCGGCUUAGCAAGUUUCCUGUUAAACUCAGCGACCUAAUCGUUGAACCGCGGGAAAUACUACUAGGCUAGGAGGCGGGAGAGGUCAACGGUACUUCCGGGGUAGGGGUGAAAUCCUAUAAUCCCGGGAGGACCACCAGUGGCGAAGGCUGUUGACUAGAACGCGCUCGACGGUGAGGGACGAAAGCUGGGGGAGCGAACCGGAUUAGAUACCCGGGUAGUCCCAGCUGUAAACGAUGCGAGCUAGGUGUUGGGGUGGCUACGUGCCACUUCAGUGCCGCAGGGAAGCCAUUAAGCUCGCCGCCUGGGGAGUACGGCCGCAAGGCUGAAACUUAAAGGAAUUGGCGGGGGAGCACCACAAGGCGUGAAGCUUGCGGUUC